rnacentral:rRNA from 2 species
GCAGUCGAACGCGUUGGCCCAAUUGAUUGAUGGUGCUUGCACCUGAUUGAUUUUGGUCGCCAACGAGUGGCGGACGGGUGAGUAACACGUAGGUAACCUGCCCAGAAGCGGGGGACAACAUUUGGAAACAGAUGCUAAUACCGCAUAACAGCGUUGUUCGCAUGAACAACGCUUAAAAGAUGGCUUCUCGCUAUCACUUCUGGAUGGACCUGCGGUGCAUUAGCUUGUUGGUGGGGUAACGGCCUACCAAGGCGAUGAUGCAUAGCCGAGUUGAGAGACUGAUCGGCCACAAUGGGACUGAGACACGGCCCAUACUCCUACGGGAGGCAGCAGUAGGGAAUCUUCCACAAUGGGCGCAAGCCUGAUGGAGCAACACCGCGUGAGUGAAGAAGGGUUUCGGCUCGUAAAGCUCUGUUGUUAAAGAAGAACACGUAUGAGAGUAACUGUUCAUACGUUGACGGUAUUUAACCAGAAAGUCACGGCUAACUACGUGCCAGCAGCCGCGGUAAUACGUAGGUGGCAAGCGUUAUCCGGAUUUAUUGGGCGUAAAGAGAGUGCAGGCGGUUUUCUAAGUCUGAUGUGAAAGCCUUCGGCUUAACCGGAGAAGUGCAUCGGAAACUGGAUAACUUGAGUGCAGAAGAGGGUAGUGGAACUCCAUGUGUAGCGGUGGAAUGCGUAGAUAUAUGGAAGAACACCAGUGGCGAAGGCGGCUACCUGGUCUGCAACUGACGCUGAGACUCGAAAGCAUGGGUAGCGAACAGGAUUAGAUACCCUGGUAGUCCAUGCCGUAAACGAUGAGUGCUAGGUGUUGGAGGGUUUCCGCCCUUCAGUGCCGGAGCUAACGCAUUAAGCACUCCGCCUGGGGAGUACGACCGCAAGGUUGAAACUCAAAGGAAUUGACGGGGGCCCGCACAAGCGGUGGAGCAUGUGGUUUAAUUCGAAGCUACGCGAAGAACCUUACCAGGUCUUGACAUCUUGCGCCAACCCUAGAGAUAGGGGCGUUUCCUUCGGGAACGCAAUGACAGGUGGUGCAUGGUCGUCGUCAGCUCGUGUCGUGAGAUGUUGGGUUAAGUCCCGCAACGAGCGCAACCCUUGUUACUAGUUGCCAGCAUUAAGUUGGGCACUCUAGUGAGACUGCCGGUGACAAACCGGAGGAAGGUGGGGACGACGUCAGAUCAUCAUGCCCCUUAUGACCUGGGCUACACACGUGCUACAAUGGACGGUACAACGAGUCGCGAACUCGCGAGGGCAAGCAAAUCUCUUAAAACCGUUCUCAGUUCGGACUGCAGGCUGCAACUCGCCUGCACGAAGUCGGAAUCGCUAGUAAUCGCGGAUCAGCAUGCCGCGGUGAAUACGUUCCCGGGCCUUGUACACACCGCCCGUCACACCAUGAGAGUUUGUAACACCCAAAGUCGGUGGG